rnacentral:lncRNA from 1 species
AUCAAUUUUCAAAAUCUCUACCAAACGGACCCAUAAGAAGUUUAGUCGGUAAUUAUUUUCAUGAGAAAUGAAAAAUCAGUAGGAAGAAUGUUUAAUAUUAGUAGUAAAAAAAGGAUAAUUCUAUUUGUAUGUAAAAAACGUCCGGAAGCAAUUACAGCUUGCUGAUGUUGCGCUUUUAAUUGUUAAAAGAUAUUGACCCCAAUAACUCGGAGAAAUUGGUAAAAUCCAUUUCAAAUUCAGACCUUACCAAAACCAAAACCCAAACCCAUCACAAAGUUUGAUAAUCUCUCUCCGGACUCCCUUGCACACUUCAUCAUGCAUUGGAGAUCUCUCGGUUGCGAAGCUACAUCUGGCAAAUCCAGGUCCGGGGACUCUGUUUCGAUGUUUUUCUGAAAUGACUGGAAUUCCUUUUUUUUUUUUUUUUGGUGCUUUAUUUAUAGAUAUUCAUUUGGGGUUUUGAAAUCAGUAUCAACCACGAAGAAUGUAUGUUUUUGAAAUGAUUGGACCUUUUUUUUUUGGGUGCUUUAUUUAUAGAUUUUCAUUUUUGGGUUUUUAAAUGAGUAGAUUAUAUAUUUGGACAGUUGAUUACCGGGAAAUGUGUGUUUUCAAAAUGUCCCUUUAUUUAUACAAAUCUUCAUUUUGGGGUGGGUUUUGGUACUGUCACGAUGGAAGUGUUUUUCCAUUCUUUGACUGAAUUCGUUUUUCGGGGGAAGAGUCACUACGAAAGCGGUUUUGUGCUUUUCUUUAUGCAAAUUCCAACCAUAGAAACCUCUUUUUUUUUUUUUUUUCCUUUUCUUUUUUAGUAUCCUGAAGCAAAUUUCAACCACAGUUAUAUGUCCAUUGGAGAAAAUUGUUUCAUUUACAUUUGGGUUUAUUGCUACUUGCCAAUUCAGACAUUAUUGUGAUGUGGUUUUUUCGUUGUUAUAUUAGAAUUCUUCAAUGCCUAGAAAAAAUAAAGGGAUAUGUCAUUCAUGUAGACAGCCAGGACACAUGUUGCCAGAUUACCUCGGAAAGAGAAGAUGCGCAAACAGUGGCCAAUGCUACAUUAAAUGGAUGGAGGUGGAAAAGCAAAGCGAUAAAAAAAGGCAUUUGUUCCAUUGUUGUACCCGCGACGUACGUUGAUUUUUUGAUUGGAAUAAAUCUCAUCCUGCUACAGUAUAUUGGUUGCAAGAUGAAGGUCAAUCAAGUGGCGUCUCCAAUGGUAGUGAAUCCGUCAAUGAUUUGUCGGGUAUGUUAAAAACGUGUGCUAAAAUAGCCGAGAAAAAAGACAUUGAGAUCUCUCUCAACAUCAUAACAAUUCAUAAGGAGAAAUGGGAUUUGGAAGAUGUUCUAUGAACUUCGAUGUAAUGGGAUAGUGAAUGAAUAUUUAAUCUUUAGUGUGAUGCCUUAAUGUUAAUGAAAAUGUACUGCAUGAAUGUUAAUGUCAAUGACAACGUAAUGACUUAAUGUCAAUGAAAAUAUAAUGCCUUAAUGUUAAUCUUCGACUUAUGUUAAUGACAAUGUAAUGCCUUAACAUUAAUGAAAAAUGCAUU